CUUGAUUAAUACUGCUCUCGUCUCAUCGCAUCGGAAACUUUCACGAAAUUGUUCGAUGUCUGAUGCGAUUCUUCCAUCGAAGAACAAGUCAGGCGAAUGAGACAUUAGGCAAUGUUAAGCGAAUGUACUAAUUACGGAGGCGGCAAAUUCGAAUCUUUUUCGAGCGUCGAUGCGCGAACCAGGGUCCCGAGCUUGGGGUGCAACUCUGCGACACGUGAUUUGCGCUUCGAUUAAACGGGAUGGAGCGCUCGAGCGACAUACGCAUUUGCAACGUAUCAGUCACAACGUGAAGUUAAUACACGGUUACAUCGAUGUUGUACAAGCUUUUUCUUCGUGAUGAACAGGUUUGUCGAGACCUUUACUAUCUGACAUUUUUCACGAAGGAAUAGAUUCGGGUUAGGUUCUUUACGUUUGACGAAAAAAAGCAAGAAACGUGUACCAUCUAUGUGCACUAGACGAUACCGAAAGAUUCUAUAAAAAGUUAGAUCGCGUAAUUCAUGUAGGGAGGACUUGAAAAGGAGAGAUGGCAAUUAAACCUAUUAUGUCUCAUGCGGUUAAGGCAACAACAUGCUUUCUGCCAGCCAGACUUUCUCAUACGUUUUUACGAAGCGCACGUCAUUGAAACACGAAGGGUUUAAGAAGAUCGCCGCUUAAGAUGCACAUACGUGAAUCCUGAUCGGCUGGAAUUCAUGCAUCUUAACUAUAUCCUUUAGCAUGUUGUUAUGGACACACGGAUAGAAGGGACGAAGAUAAUAAAUCGAUAGCGAUCAAAUUAUACAAAUCGCUUUUCAUCGUUGCAUAAACGUGAGCCCAUUCAAACGGUAUACUUACAAAUUUAUCAUUUCCUCGAUGUAAAUUUUAUCUUACAUUUAACAGAAACGAAAUUUGGAGAAAUCAAAGAUAGAAGUUCGUGUCUCAUACGGACUAAUUAAAUACGUUUAUCGAAAAUAUCGAUCUUUAAAUAUCAACGAACGUUGCGUUAAUCGUGAGAAACAGUUGAACGAUUCGCUCUUGCGGUUCGGUCAAUUCGAUCAGGACGCAUUAAUACCGGCGGGUAAUUAAACGCGACUGCUUCAAUUAUCCCGAAAAAUGUCGCGUUGGUACAUUAGUGGGGCACGCAGACACACGGAUUCAACUGUCCAACGUGUACACACGCUCGUAUCCUGGAUGCAGAAAGUUUGUGCAAUCAGUGAACUCGUGCUGAAUACAGGUGGUGGCAACGUGGGAUGUUGGUUAAGAUAGGGAUACAUUAUGCAAGAUUGCGUCACAGGUUUAUUGUAUCAGCACCUCAUCGUAUACGAGUGAGAUAGCGCGGCGGGUACCUAGGAUUUUUACGAUCGGAGAUUUAUGGUGUUCGCGAAUCCUGAAAUUCGUCUUAAUCGGUCUAGAACAGUUUCGAUUGUAUCGCGUCGUGUCCGUUUUAUUAUACAUCGGCCACGGUUUCGCCGCGGCGGCACGUUGCGAGACUCGAGGAAUCUUCUUCGUGCAUAAAUCGCAUCGCGCAACGCGGUGCCACGGACUGCUCAGAUUUAAUAAAUGAUCAGAGGCGAACUGUUCUAUGCUUGAUAAAGCGGACGCUACGCUGGCGUUGAUGUAUCGCUCGAAAUUUCCUUCGAGUUCGAUAGGCAGGCUAAGUGGACUAUGGAGGCGUCUAUCUUCGCAGCGAAGCGGAUCAAUUUUUGAAGAGGAUAGGAGAAUAUCGCAAACACUUUGAGGAACAGCUCGGUAUUCAAUCGCCAUCGAGUUAAUUGUUACCGAGCCAAUUCGACGGACACAUUCGUCUUCCGUGUACAAUGUCAUAGAUCGUAUCUUACUAACGUCAAAAGGUAACUUGUUCUAUCUUAAUUAAGGACGUAAAAAAUAUCCCUAUUGGCAUGCACCAUUUCUCCUUCUAAUUUUAUGUUAAACAUCUUCUUAGAACGGUACGUAUGUUCUCUGUUUGUUAAAACGAGCAAAGAAUUGAAAUAUAAAAAUUCCAGGAUCGCAACAGACUUGAUAUUAUGGACACGUUGCACGUGGUAAAGAAAGAGAAAGAAGAAGAUUAAUGCUUAUCGUGAUCGAAGAAAAAAAAGGAUAAACGAGCAAGGAUAAAUGAAGUCACGAACGGCUAAAUUAACUCGAGGAACUCGCUUGAUAGUUUUUCCGAUGAUUAUCUCUGGACAGCGGCGCGUCAACGGGGAAACAUAGCAAAUUAGUUUCGGAGAUAACUAUAUUUGUGAAUGAGAAAUAGAGAAAUUCGGAGAAGAGGUGAAAGAUGAAAGCGGGAACGCGGAAGACCGAAGAAACGAAAAGAAACAGAGAACAAAGGAUGGGAAAUGAUGUAAAGAGUAGAAUACUAAAACGAUAGAAAUAAGAGAAGAGGAGAGUGUGCAAUGUGUGAAGAUGAGAAGAGACAGGUAUGAAAGUAGUUUAACAGGAACACAAAUGUUUUUCAUGUUGCCAUGUAGAACGCGGUACUUCUCUUUCGUCCUUGAAAGGCGUACUUUGCUUACGGCGAUUCAAUAAAGGAUCGAUAAUCGCUAAGCUGUAGUCGAAACAGUAUUCGAAGAUUCAUUUUUAAGGAACGAACCUAAAGCUAUUAAAAUUGCGAAAUAGGGGAAAAAGCAGAAAAUUUAAAAGAGGGGAAGAAAUGGUU